AACGCUGGCGGCGUGCCUAAUACAUGCAAGUCGAAUGGUAGCAAUACCAUGGCGAACGGGUGAGUAACACGUAGGUAACCUGUCCUUAAGACGAGGAUAACCGUUGGGAACGACGGAUAAUACUGGAUAGGAGGAAUUGAGGCAUCUUAAUUCUUUAAAGAUUUAUCACUUGAGGAGGGGCCUGCGGCGCAUUAGCUAGAUGGCGGGGUAAUAGCCCACCAUGGCAAUGAUGCGUAGCCGGACUGAGAGGUUGAACGGCCACAAUGGAACUGAGAACGGUCCAUACUCCUACGGGAGGCAGCAGUAGGGAAUUUUCGGCAAUGGGCGAAAGCCUGACCGAGCAACGCCGCGUGAACGAAGAAGUAUUUCGGUAUGUAAAGUUCUUUUAUUAGGGAAGAAAAGAUCAAGAUUGACGGUACCUAAUGAAUAAGCUCCGGCUAACUACGUGCCAGCCGCCGC
rnacentral:rRNA from 1 species